AACAUGCACAGACAUGCAUGCUGUAACAAAAAAGAAGAAAAGCGCGCCGCCUGCCGCCAUUUUAGGUUCGAAAAUAGUGUUUCUCAUUUUGUGAAAACUUUGCAACCCAGCUAACCUUGAAUGUUUUUUCUCUUAAGGAAACUGACGCAACUGGCAGAUAUAUGGCUUCUUCAAUCUGUUAAUGCAGACUACCUUUGCCCUGCGGCGUAAUGAGAUCAUCAAUGAUGAGCUACCUGUUGGAGAGAUCCUGGAACGCUGGCCUGCCUUGAAAAUGGAGUCACAGAGUUUCACAGGAUAACGAACCUCAACCUGAAGAACCACUUCUAUGCGGAGUUGGAUAGACAUGUCCUCCAUCUUCAGAGCCUGUUCAGGAAGUAGGCGGCAAGCAAGGAAAGGAAACUGAACUUCUGGAUCAGCUAUUCGCCUCCUAUGACCUCCAGGAGCAAGGUGACGUCCAUGUCCUCCGUGCUCUGCCUGCAUAUCUGCAUGAAGAUGACUCCACGAUUCUGAGGCUGUGGCAUGUGGAGCAUUCUGAUGAUCCAGACACAGAGGGCAUCGCGGUCGGACUUCUCAUGAUCAGUGCCAGGUCAACAGACACCACGCUCUUCUGCCCAGAGAGGAUCGCUGUUGUCAUUGAGGGUAACGGAGUUAUGGAACUCCCCACACUGGCUGACGCAUUCAUCCUGCUUUUUGCACUGACCUUUGCCCUGCAUCUGAGCUACCCAAAAGACUUGGCCAACACUUUCGACUUCACCUAGAAAGUGUUGAUGAGGGGAACUUGAAGCCCAGGGUGUUGAGCCUGAAAAAGCUUUUGGCAGUUUAAUCCAACCAACAAAGUUGCACUUUAACAAUCACACACACACUGUUCUCCUCUGUUUACAUCCUGCUGCUUUACAUCUGUGUUCUGUUGUGUGCAUUGACAGAUUUGUUACUGUUCAGCUUCAAGUUGAAGGACUGUUCGUAGAUGUUUUAUACUUUUAUAUGUAUUGGGUCUUUAUGGUCCAUGUGUUAAAUUAAUACGCAGAACUGUUCCUGAAAAUUGUGUUCACUCAUAAGUGAUGGUUAAAAUACACACAGAUAUUUCUCAAGGCCCUAGCACUGUUUUUAAGGUGUUUUUAUUUAUUUAAGAGUUAAAUAUAUUGAAUUUGUAUUGUGCUAAAAUGCAUUGUUCUUUUAUAGUGGAAAUGGAAUGUUGGCGAUUUGCCAAAGCUGUUCAAAUUAUCAAUAAAUGCAUUUUUAUAU